rnacentral:lncRNA from 1 species
UUAAAAUUAGUUAUAUUUUCGCUAUGAAAUAAUUUCGUUACUAAAAGUUUUGUAUUUUUGCAACCUUAGUUUUUGUCAAUAAUUGCAUAAACAAACUAGUGGCUAUAAGUGUAUCAUCUCUCACUAUAACAUUAAGCAUAUAUAGCUACAAAGUAUAUCAUAGCUAAAUAUAAAAAAUAUUGUGCCUAAACACCUUAGCUGCAAUAAUAUUUUC